CGGGACGGCUGAGUAACACGUAGGAACGUACCCCAAAGUGAGGGAUAAGCACCAGAAAUGGUGUCUAAUACCGCAUGUGGCCCACGGGCUAAAGCUUUAUGCGCUUUGGGAACGGCCUGCGCAAGAUUAGCUUGUUGGUGAGGUAAUGGCUCACCAAGGCGACGAUCUUUAGCUGGUCUGAGAGGAUGACCAGCCAGACUGGGACUGAGACACGGCCCAG
rnacentral:rRNA from 1 species